rnacentral:lncRNA from 1 species
UGGUAAUUCAAAAUUAUUAAAUUAAUUAAUACAGGGUUUAAUAAUAGAAAGCGUUUUAUUUAUUCACUCCCAGCCGACACAACCAUUCACCCUCUGAAAUUUCUCGCUCCUCAACCUUUUCUAUCGUCGUCUCUUUCUUUCUUGUUACAGUCGCUGGAGUCCACUGCAAUGAUGACCAUCGCGUAGUUGCUUCCACAGUGCGGCGGAGGUAAGCAGCCCUCUCUAUCAAAUAGCAGAGCUGUCGCACUGUGCAACCACUAUCAAUACUAGUUUUGAAUAUGCGAUUUGAAGGAGUUGAUGAAGAGGGAAGAGCGGGGCGCUGUUAUAACACCAAUGCCAAAUUCCCUCUCGAAUAAAUUCUCCUAUUGCUUUGUUCUUUCGCUCAAAGGAGCAAAAGUCAAUAGAAUCUGGUUGAAAAAAUGGUAAGCGACAGAGGAGGAGCGAUGAAGGAGGUGAAAUCGAAGGCUGAGCUUGAUCUAACCAUUGGGAAGCGCUCUCCGAUCAUUCUACACUUUUGGGCGUCAUGGUAUGAGGCCUCCAAGCACAUGGACCAAGUUUCUCUCAUCUCUCCACUGAUUCACUCUAGCCGACUUUCUCCUGAUUUAUACUUACCAUUUCUCUCUCUUUCUGAAACAGACACAAAGUAGUUUUUAUCAUUAUUAUUUAUUUGCCAUUAUCAUUGUUGGUCUGAUUUUUGUUUUUACUGGUGAAUAUAGAUCUCUUUGCUUUUCUUGUUUCAUUUUUUUUAGUUUAAUAUGAGAAAUUCAAACAUUAUUAGGCAAUAAAGUUGAGGUGAG